GCUCACCACUAGGAGCACGGAUACUUAAAGAAACAACAACACAUAAAAUCAGACAGUCGUUCCUUCCUAUCCUGCUGACUGGUCUGAUAUUAUCAUAGUAAGUUUAAAGCGAUGUUAUAUCCAUGAUACACGGAAGAUGUUUGGCUUGAGAGUUCGGAGGGGCUGACAUGUCGUCUUGUCUACCGGGUCUGGGAGGGCCAGCAGGUGCGAGGACUUUUACAGAUGCACAAUCGAGAGAAUCCUGUCUUGCUGUAUCAGCGCCUGGUACGGCAGCUGCUCCGCCCACAACCAUAAGGCUCUCCAGAGGGAAGUAAAGGCCAAAAAGAUCAUCAAGGACAACAACCAACCGAGCCACUGCCUGUUCACCCUGCUAUCAUCCAGAAGGAGCGGUCAACAGGUGCAUCAAAGCUGGGACAGAGAAACUGAAAAACAGCUUCUAUCUCAAGGCCAUCAGAUUGUUAAAACAGCCAUCACUAACUAACAUUGAGUGGCUGCUGUCAACAUACUGACCCCAAUCUCUAGCCACUUUAAUUAUAAAAAAUGGGAUGUAAUAAAUGUAUCACUAGUCACUUUAAACAAUGCCACUUUAUAUAAUGUUUACAUAACCUACAUUAUUAAUCUCAUAUGUAUAUACUGUACUCUAUACCAUCUACUGCAUCUUGCCUAUGCCGCACGGCCAUCAAUCAUACAUAUAUUUAUAUGUACAUAUUCGUAUUCCUUCCUUUACACUUGUGUGUAUAAGGUAGUUGUUGUAAAAUUGUUAGAUUACUUUUUAGAGAUUACUGCACGGUCGGAACUAGAAGCACAAGCAUUUCGCUACCCUCACAUUAACAUCUGCUAACCAUAUAUAUGUGACCAACAACAUUUGAAUAGUCUAUUACCAUUCUGUAUUAUGUCAUGUAUAUGUAUUUUCUGGGGUUGGUGGGUUAAAAUAUUACUCGAUGUCACAGAGGGUGCACAGGGAAUAUGUCAAAAUGCUGAAUAUUUGCACUUUACCAGUCUUUAUUCAUAUUGAAAAUCUGAUUUAUUGAAUUAUCCAUGUGACCAAUAUUAAAGAGCACUUCAUUUCAUAUACCA